rnacentral:misc_RNA from 1 species
GUAGGUGAACCUGCGGAAGGAUCAUCAACAAAUCUUUAAAAAAAGGAGAGAUUCUUUUUUUUAUAAGAAAAAAAGGGGGGCUGUAAAGGGUUCUUUUUUUUUCUAUAACCAAUGUGAAUUGAAAGAAAAAGGUUCUUUUUCUUUUGUUUUUUUUUUUCGUAUGAAAAAAAACAUUAACGAGUAUUAUAUAAUAGAGUCUAAUAAAAAAAACAAUAUAAAAAUAACUUUUAACAAUGGAUCUCUUGGCUCU